AGAGUUUGAUCAUGGCUCAGAACGAACGUUAGCGGCGCGCUUAACACAUGCAAGUCGAGCGAGAAAGGGCUUCGGCCCCGGUACAGCGGCGCACGGGUGAGUAACACGUAGGUAAUCUACCUCCAGGUGGUGGAUAACCUUCCGAAAGGAGGGCUAAUACAGCACGAGACCACGACUCCGAAAGGAGAUGAGGUCAAAGCCGGCCAAUUCUUGAAAGCUGGCGCCAGGAGAUGAGCCUGCGGCCCAUCAGCUAGUUGGUAGGGUAACGGCCUACCAAGGCGAAGACGGGUAGCUGGUCUGAGAGGAUGAUCAGCCACACUGGAACUGAGACACGGUCCAGACUCCUACGGGAGGCAGCAGUGGGGAAUCUUGCGCAAUGGGCGAAAGCCUGACGCAGCGACGCCGCGUGAGUGAUGAAGGCCUUCGGGUUGUAAAGCUCUGUGGAGGGGGACGAAUAAGUGUUGGCUAAUAUCCAGCGCGAUGACGGUACCCCUUUAGCAAGCACCGGCUAACUCUGUGCCAGCAGCCGCGGUAAGACAGAGGGUGCAAACGUUGUUCGGAAUUACUGGGCGUAAAGCGCGUGUAGGCUGCUUGGAAAGUCGGGUGUGAAAGCCCUGAGCUCAACUCAGGAAGUGCACUCGAAACUUCCGAGCUCGAGUCCUGGAGAGGGGCGGAAUUCUCGGUGUAGAGGUGAAAUUCGUAGAUAUCGAGAGGAACACCGGUGGCGAAGGCGGCUACCUGGACAGUGACUGACGCUGAGACGCGAAAGCGUGGGGAGCAAACAGGAUUAGAUACCCCAGUAGUCC
rnacentral:rRNA from 1 species